UGCAACCGAUGCAGAAGUGCUGUUGAAUGCAUCUGCAGCUGAGAAAUCAGGCAAGCAGAAGAACCUGUUCUCUUGGUGAAAAGCAAGGGGUGAGGCUUUGAGCAAGCUGAGAUAACUAAGCAACUGUUCAAUAUCAUCUCUCAUUCUGCACCUGCUAUUGUGUGCAGUGCGUGCCACCGAAGAGCUGGUGUUGGGCUACAUCUGGCAUAUCAAGAUGUGACAGGGGCCAAUUUGCUGAGGGGUGGGGCAAAGAAUCAAAAGGUGAUGCCAUGGUGAGAGAGACCUCCCUUUUCCACGUGCUGUCCCAUGAUGCAGUAGCUCGUCAGGCCUUUGGAGUGAUUCAACAUCAUAGAUCAGUCUGUCUUCUGUUUACAGAGAGCAAAUCCUCCACAUCCCUCCUUGGAUUCAAGACCCCAACUAAUCCCUCAUCUCUUUGAUUCUCUACCAGCUGUUCAUCUGUCCUCUUUGUCAUAUGCUUUGAUGGGGAAAUCUUCCCAUCAAAGCCAACAAGACAAUUAGACACAUCAUACUCCUGGUUUCAUAAAAAUCCGCUGGAUGGCUACACAUUGUGGCAGCAGAGCAUACUUUGCUACUGAUUUUCCAAACUUCUACACAUUACUGGUGUCAGCACACAUUCUCCAGCUGCCAUUGAUAUAACAGUUGUUCUGAGACUUUGGCAGUGCUAGAGAUAUAUAGAAACUUUACAAAGGCUGAGGCUGACAUCGCCAGAAACCAGUCCUUCCAUUCUGUGUUUAGGCAGCCUCUACAGCUGGUGGGAAUCAUAAGUAACAGCACAGAGUUUUAGGGGAGGAAUAGCCAUGGGUGAAGGCAAACCACGUGAGGCGCUUCUUAUGGUCCUACACUUCAGUCCACGGUUUUAACAGCAGCUUCCUCAAAAACAGCCCAGGAGCAGCUGGUUGAGCUAGGGCAUGUCUGAGAAUUCUCAAGAUGCCUGAUCCAUCUGUGCAACCUGCAGCAGCAUCCCAACAGCUCAGGGAGAGGACCUGCCUCCAUCAUGGGAACGAACACCUGCAGCAGCUUUGUCCUGAAGCCUCCUUUCCAGCUGUUGCCACAUAGCCUACAGUCUGCCAGCUACUGUGGCCAGGCAGGGGCUUUCGGAGGAGGCAAGAGGCUGUGAUGCAAGUAGGAGGCAUCUGAAAAAACCUUUUGGAUGGUGCUUUGGCCUGGUACCAUCAACUUUCUCUUGUCACUUGGCACAAAAUGUUUCUUUCCUUUCUCACGAGCCUUCUUGCACCUCAUGCGUCAGAGAAAAGAAGGUAAAGCUUUGAGCCUGAUGGCAAACACCAUGUGACAUCCUUUGAGUCUGGAGUGACGGGGCUGAGAGUGACUGCUCCAUCCUCACUGUCUGGUGACGAGCUGCAGGAGGUGACCCCAAAGCAAGCACCACUUUGCAAAGCUCUACUGCCUGGGUGGACGGCUUGACUGAUGUGGUUAAAAGCCACUUGAGUUUCUGGAGGAUGGGGAUAAUUAAAUGUUCCUCAUGUUGCAGCAUGGGUAUAGAGGAAAAAAAAUAUUUUUACUCUCUUGCAUACUGAAGGCCAAACCUCCCUGUCUCUACAGCCGGAUGGAAAAGAACACAGGGAUUUAAUAACCUUACUAGAGAGCAGGGAUCACCAUGUCAUGUCCCACAAGCAGGAUUUUAACUCAUUCUGGAAACAAAACCUUAGAAAGGUGAGUUCACUUCACAGUUACCUUGCUCAUCCCUUCUGUAUUUACUAUGAUGUCCCUCAAAUGAAAUUUAUUCACUAGCUUCUUGCAUUACAGAGAUAGAAUAGAGUGUAUGCUAAUAUUAUCCCCUUUCCAAUAAUUUCUAUUUGGUACCAUUUAAUAUUAGCAUGCUCUGAUAAUUGCUAGAAUUUGAUUUAUUUGUUUUAAUCUGAAUCCCCAUAUUCCACAGGCGAUAAUCAGCGGUCUUUUUCUUUCUCUCUCCCAUGGGAGACUGACCUUAUAACUUCUUUCCUUGCUAAAAUUCUGCUCUGUUCCCCAGGUACCAAUCACAUUUCCUUUCAGAUUUGUCUAAUUGAUUGAUGGAAUUAAGCUAAACUCAGAGCAAUUGCUCUUGACCUUUAUAUAGCAACUGAGUUGUUGCUUCUAUUUCAGAGCUGAAGGGAAGCUGGUGUUCCCAAAAGAAAGACUGUUGUGCCAAAAGCCUGUCUGCUUUUCCUAUUGAAUAGUUUUACUUCUUCCCCAGAAACCUUACUUCAUAUAUACGCUCGGAUCAUCGGAGCUACAAUAAUAAUACCACCCUGGAAUCCACGAGAGCCAGAAUCUACUUCGUAUUGAUUCAUACUGAGAAAAACAUUUUUGGAAGAUUGCAGUCUCCUGGAUGCUAGCCAGAAUUGCCUGGGUUCUAUCAGUAUGCUGCAGCAUAAUGUACAAGCUUCAAAAGGGAUUAAUACAUAAAGUCAACACACAUUAUUCUAUUACGUUAAGUUGAUAGCAUCAGUCUAAUCAUUAAAAGCGUAGCAACAGUUUAAUUUCCAAACAGCUGUAUCCAUUUUAUGUUUUAAAAUCAGUCCUUCUCCAAAAAGUGGGAUGGGAUUUCUUGGAUUUUUUUUGUCGGAGUCGGGCUCGGGUUCACCUACUAGCAUAGCAUGCCCUUUACGUCUGGUGGAAUUCUUUCUUUUACCCCUGUGGCUAUAUUGCAGGUUCACUGGGCUAAUAUUUAAAUAAUCAAAAUCAUGAGCUUUAUAAAGUCAUGCUAUUUGAUAUUGUUGCAUGAAGGCCCUUUAUAAGCUGAAGGAUGCUUCCAGUAUCUGAUUCAGACAGGGAGGUAUUAUCUUGGGAAUCUCAACUAUCUGAUGCAAGAGAAGUUUAAAAUAUCUUUGGAAAGGAGAAGGAGAAAACCAUACGACAUUCCAGUAUUGCUUGCCAUACACAGGAUUCAACAUUUAUGCCCAUCCUGCAUCCGUUAGGAUUUAGAUGGGAUGUCACAGCCUCUCUUGUACCCAUGUCUAAAUAAAUGGGUGGUUCUUUCUGCAGGCUACAUCCUCCAAGGUCAGGAUUAACCUCAGUUGUAGUACAUCAGUUUUAUGAUUGAGGGAUUGUAUUUCAGUUUGGGAAAAAAAAAAAAAAAAGAAGUCUUUAUUGGCACAUUCAAGAA